UACGUAGGGUGCGAGCGUUGUCCGGAAUUACUGGGCGUAAAGAGCUCGUAGGCGGUCUGUUGCGUCCGCUGUGAAAACUCGGGGCUUAACCCCGAGCCUGCAGUGGAUACGGGCAGACUAGAGGUAGGUAGGGGAGAAUGGAAUUCCCGGUGUAGCGGUGAAAUGCGCAGAUAUCGGGGGGAACACCGGUGGCGAAGGCGGUUCUCUGGGCCUUACCUGACGCUGAGGAGCGAAAGCGUGGGGAGCGAACAGG
rnacentral:rRNA from 1 species